GAAAGCGCACGCACACGCGGACAUCUCCUUCUUUCUCUCAACACGCACGAACUCCUCCUGACCAGCGUUGGCCGCCGCCGAUCUGGACUCUCCGGCUCCCGUGCUCCCCCCCCAUCCCGCGCUGCUAAGGGAAGGAAGGGCAUGGCCCUGCGAGCGGCCGCGACGAGGCUUGCAUCCUCCAUCCGCCGCCACAGCCACCUCCCAAUGUCCGAGUUGCUGCUCCCGUGUCGUGAUUGGAGACCGUGUCCUUUUCCAACUGCAAUCAAUGGAUUUCCCUACCCGGAUUUGAGUCGCCUGGUAUAAGAAGGAAGGGUCCUCGGCCGGAAUCUCCAUCAGGUUGCGUCCUUGGACCAGAAGCUCCAUCAAAUCCCAUCGAAAUUGCAAUUUUCCUUGAAACAUCCAAUUUCGCCGCCGAGUUCGCUGGAGGAAGAAACGCCGAGUUCGCCGGAGGAACAAGAACGUCCGUCCAACCGUCCAAUGUCGCUGCUGGUGGCUACACCAGAGGUAUAUAUCCCCUUGAUAUUCAUUGGAUGCAAUUCCCUGUUUUAGAUGUUGUUUCUGUCCCCUGCCAUUGACUACGCAACAAGGGAUGGAACCUGAGGCACAGCCGCUAUGGUGCUGAGAAGGAGGCGGCUGUGGCACCCGACAAAUGCUGGACUCGGAUUUGAUGCUCAAUUAGGGCGGCCACACACAUGACUCUGCCCAAGAUUCAACUGCAGGUGGCUCGGAUAAAAAGGAUUGCAACAUAGAACUGUUGAUAAGAUGGUUAGUUUUGGAAGGGGAAUGGUAGUAUGAGCAGAGAUUGAAAACAAGGCUGCAGUGCAAACACUCUUGCUCAACCAAUUUAAGCUCAACGUCAGCUGUUGAUUAAACAUUGGAUAUACUCCCCCAAAUGACAUCGUUGCACUACACUGGACCUGACGAGGAGGGGAUCCAGCUAGAUGUCUGAUGGCACUUCCACAUGUAUAAGCUUUGAGCUUAGGUUGUAUUUCUGAGGGGAGCAUACUUAUUAUUACCUUAAUUGGGUUUGACUUUUGGCUACUGUAUUGCUGUCACAACUUACCUGCGAAAUAGAAAGAGAGUCAUGUUUGAUAAGGAUAUGUACCGAGUAAUGAGUAUGUACAGAAGUGUUGGUUCUUGGUUCUUGCAUGGAGGUGAGCAAUUAUGGGUUGCAAACGUUGUUGCUGCCCAUCACCUGGUCCAAUUGAAGCACAACCAAUAGGCUGCCUUGAAUAAAGGAGUUCUCAAAGAUGAUGUCUUUUAGCACGACCAUUUUUAUUGAUUUAGUUUCUGUACAAUUUUGGGGCAUCCAAACUUGGAAAGUUUCAUCCUUCAAGUUAAAUUGGGACAAUCCAUUCAUUAAUUUCAGCGAAAAAUAUUGGUACUAUUCUUCCUAUUUUUAUUCACAUUCGUAGAAAUAUAUGUUUAAUGAUGGCUCUGCAAUUUUCCUAUUAGUAUGCAUGAUUUUUCUUUUUGAUUGCUCACCCUUGUACUUUUUGCAGUAAGAUCAUAAAUGACAAUUAUAACGGUGGCGAUUUUUACCAUCAAUUCCUUAUUUUUCACUUCUCUCACACUCAUGAUAGGUUGAUAUAUAUUUCCAGUUAUCUUUACAUCUUCAAUAUGUUGAUGUAGCUCCAAUCCCAUGAUACAAUCAAUUCAUUUUCCGCAGCCCAUCUCAUGCAGGCAGAUGGGGCGAUACAUUCAUGAGCUUGCCACUAUGCUUAACUAGCUUGUUCAACUUCUCUUGUGAGAUCAAAUUACUUUGACGUGAAUUUUCAUAGCUCUUUGUGCUCUUUCCUUCUUGCUGAACCAAUGUUUCCUCAUGAGGUGACCCUGAUUAUGUGGACCCUGAUUUGACUUGGAGUCUGCCUUAACUAACGCCUCUGAUAUUUAGAUAGAGACAAGGGGACGGGUGAAUCCUGCGGAGGCGGACGAGGUCACAAGGAGGUGUACGCCAAGGCCGAUCCCAUCAGGAACUACAUCUACCGCCGUCGCCUCUCCUGUGAGCGUCUGGGAGCCCCUCCUCGGCUCCUCCCACAAACACAUAGCGGCGUCUUAAGCAUGUCCGCCGCUCGCUGCCGCCGGCUGGUCGUCGUCUCCCUCACCGGCAUCCCAACGAAUCCAUCGGCAGUAGCCUUCCUCUCUUCGAUCUUGACGUCCGUUUCGUUCGUCGUUAUCCAGCCCCUUUCUCCCUGAGACGGCAAGGAGAUGGACGCUGCCGAGAUUAGGUCAAGCGCGGCAAAGCAUACCAGACCCGAUCCAGCACCAUCCUCCCUGCUGUGGCAAGGAGACGGGCGCUUCACAGGCGAAGUCGGGCCCGAUGAAGUAGGCUGGAUCGAUCUCCUGCACGUACCAGUCGGUGCCGACUACUACUGAACCCCAUCCAUGGAUGCAAGGUCUCCGUGCUCAUCGUCGACGGCUGCACCCUGGCCAAGUCACUCAUCAUUCGCGAGUACAUCCAUACCGCUUGACGGUGCAGCUGACAUGUACGAGGGUGCCGACGCUUGACGGAGACGAGAGCACAGAAGAGGCUGCCGCCAUCGAACCCUGUCAGAGCAUGCCACGCCGACCCACGGAAGCAGGCUGCCAUCGUUGAACCUGGCCAGCCACGAUAGUGCAUGAAUAAGGGCGCCGCAAUCGAACCGGCAUGCUGCGUGCGUGAAGCCGUGGAGUACCAAGGUGCAGGC